rnacentral:lncRNA from 13 species
AGUCAUGGUAUUGAAAUUGAAACCUGAAACCUGAAAUGUUGUGCUGGCUACAUCAUGUAGAUGCUCUGUUACAUCAUCAGCAGUGAGUGGACAACUCGGGGGAAACGACUGGCUCCACACUGCAGCCUCUCUGAUGUUCAUAUAUAUCACAGUACAAUGUUACCUGAACAAAAACUCUACUACACAUGUGUGUGGAGCCUCAGUCAUAUACCAUUGAAUUGGCAGAAAGGAUUGAGCCUUCGUCAAAAAUAAUAGUAUUUUCUGAUUGUUCUUGGUGAAUGUCAGUUUUGUUUGAUAAAUAACAGACAAUAGGACUCAAGCAUAUAUCAAAUUGUCCUUCUGUUUGUCUAACCAUCAUAUAAUGCCUAUAGCCAGAACCGUGUAUUGUAAUAGAAGACUGCCUGUACAGUUCUUUAAAUUCUCUAUUCGUAGCAUCCUUUUCUGAGAGCUCUAUUUCACUCAAUAGUCGAAUAUGGUGAAUUUUUUAAAAUUGUUUUCUGAAUGCUUUGUACACAUGUGCAAGUGUGUGUACGAGGCACUGAACUGGAGAGAUAGGGCAAAAUGACUAUAGGCGCGGGUACGCCUACACUGCCCAGGUGAGGAAAAGUGCAGGGCUGAGGACACUCAUUUCUGUGACAGUGCGCACGUCCUGCGCUUUUACGCACGGUCUCUUUGCAGUAAUGCAUACACAUUGUUAUGGUGUUAUGACACUAGAUUACUCUAUAUUUUAUAAUCAAUUAAAAAUAAGAAAUUAAACUUGUUUACAUUUUGUUUAUGGCUAUAGCUUGUGGUAAAGCGAAUUAGAAUUCCAUUCUGAUUCGAAACAAUGUGCAAUGACGUGUUCCAUCUCUAUGCGACCGAGAGGGUCACAAUGCCGACGCUUCACAUGGAACUCCAGAACCCAAGAGAUAUGUCCAGAACUCUCAAUAAAUCGUCAGUUCUUGAUCGACAAACAACGAGAGAGACAGCAUUAUUAUGGCAAGCUUUUCAUUCAUCUUCCCUGAAGACAGACAUUGUUCCAUUAAGGACAACGAAGUCAAUUCAGGGUGGAUGUCAACGGUGACCCAACUCAACGCCCUUGGUGGUCCAGAGUCAGAGAGUCGGAAAAUUGUUCAGAGCUUUGCAGAGGUACUUGGUGACAAGUACCACUACGA